rnacentral:rRNA from 1 species
CAGCCGCCACGGGAAUACGAAGGGUGCAAGCGUUACUCGGAAUUACUGGGCGUAGAGCGUGCGUAGGUGGUGGUUUAAGUCCGUUGUGAAAGCCCUGGGCUCAACCUGGGAAUUGCAGUGGAUACUGGGUCACUAGAGUGUGGUAGAGGAUAGUGGAAUUUCCGGUGUAGCAGUGAAAUGCGUAGAGAUCGGAAGGAACAUCUGUGGCGAAGGCGACUAUCUGGGCCAACACUGACACUGAGGCACGAAAGCGUGGGGAGCAAACAGGAUUAGAUACCCGAGUAGUCCCUGUCUCUUAUAC